rnacentral:rRNA from 1 species
AUGGGGCGGCAGCCGUGCUGCGACAAGCUGGGGGUGAAGCGCGGGCCGUGGACGGCGGAGGAGGACCGGAAGCUGAUGGCCUUCAUCCUCGGCAACGCCGGGCGCUGCUGCUGGCGCGCCGUGCCCAAGCUCGCCGGCCUGCUGCGCUGCGGCAAGAGCUGCCGCCUCCGCUGGACCAACUACCUCCGCCCCGACCUCAAGCGCGGCCUCCUCACCGACGACGAGGAGCGGCUCGUCGUCGACCUCCACGCCAAGCUCGGCAACAGAUGGUCCAAAAUUGCUGCGAAGUUACCAGGAAGGACAGAUAACGAGAUUAAGAAUCAUUGGAACACACACAUAAAGAAGAAGCUCAUCAAGAUGGGAAUUGACCCGAUCACACACGAGCCCCUCGAAGUCCGAAAGCAACCACAACAAGCUAGCCUAUCCACAACAUCUGCACAAUCCUCGACCAUCACGAUUGAAUGCAAGUCCAACAAUGGGGAAAAAAGCCAGCAGCAGGACACACACAUCAAUAUGGACAAGGACGCGUCAUCGGUCGGCAGCGAGUCCAGCCCGCCGGAGUUAUCAGGCACAAACACCGACAACACUACAAGUGGUACCAACGGCAUGCAUGACCAAGAUCCACUAGUGAAGUGGCUGCUGGAAGAUGAGGAUGACCUCCCCGCCAUUGGCAUCGUCGAAGAGCCGUGGCUUGACUUCGCAGUCGAAAAUGAUGUUGACAAGUUCAAUAGCAUUCCUUCUGCCAUGUCAUGGGACAUUGGAGCGACGGAUUGGCUGCUCGACUACCAAGAUUUUGGGGCAGGGGACUCGAGUUUGCUUGAAGAUGCCUCCAUGGUCGACAGCUCAAGUGGAUCAAAUCUCUAG